AGUGAACGCUGGCGGUAGGCCUAACACAUGCAAGUCGAACGGCAGCACAGUAAGAGCUUGCUCUUACGGGUGGCGAGUGGCGGACGGGUGAGGAAUACAUCGGAAUCUACUUUUUCGUGGGGGAUAACGUAGGGAAACUUACGCUAAUACCGCAUACGACCUACGGGUGAAAGCAGGGGAUCUUCGGACCUUUCGCGAUUGAAUGAGCCGAUGUCGGAUUAGCUAGUUGGCGGGGUAAAGGCCCACCAAGGCGACGAUCCGUAGCUGGUCUGAGAGGAUGAUCAGCCACACUGGAACUGAGACACGGUCCAGACUCCUACGGGAGGCAGCAGUGGGGAAUAUUGGACAAUGGGCGCAAGCCUGAUCCAGCCAUACCGCGUGGGUGAAGAAGGCCUUCGGGUUGUAAAGCCCUUUUGUUGGGAAAGAAAAGAAGCAGGUUAAUACCCCGCUGUUCUGACGGUACCCAAAGAAUAAGCACCGGCUAACUUCGUG
rnacentral:rRNA from 1 species